CUUUCAACAACGGAUCUCUAGGCUCUUGCAUCGAUGAAGAACGCAGCAAAAUGCGAUACGUAAUGCGAAUUGCAGAUUCUCGUGAGUCAUUGAAUUUUUGAACGCAUAUUGCGCCUUAUGGUAUUCCAUAAGGCAUGCCUGUCUGAGCGUCA
rnacentral:rRNA from 1 species